ACCUGGCAACCCAGUCAAGCUUGUUCAGAAGUCAUCCAGAUGGCAUCUCCAACUUCUCUGUCUGGGGUCAGGAUGUGGUAUCAAUUUCAAGAAACAAAAUCGCACUAACUUCCUUUUCAAGGACAACAAGUGAUAUUGGACAUCAGCAGCUUGUACUUCAGAACUUGUAUUCGGCUAACAGAGGAGUGAAACACAAAAACCUCUCUGUUCUUUCGACCAUUGCCGUGCUUCCUUUGUCAAGAUUAUUUCUAGUUGGAACUAAGAUAGGUUUCUCAAAAUCUGCUACUAGGUGGUUCAAGUACUGGUAAUCGUCUAUCCAUUGUGCUGAGUUAAAUUUUUGGUGGUUUCUCUCUCCCAUGCGUGUGAGUUAAAUUUUGUAACGGUGCCUGCUCAUAGUUUGUUUUUCAUUUUGCCAGCAGCCACUGUAGGGUAUGUUCAUAUCGUACAGGAAACAAUAAACUGUAAAUUUUUAUCUUUGAGUAAAAACUUAAAUUUUUUUA